CCUACGGGCGACAGCAGUGAGGAAUAUUGGUCAAUGGACGCAAGUCUGAACCAGCCAUGCCGCGUGCAGGAAGACGGCUCUAUGCGUUGUAAACUGCUUUUGUACGCGGAUAAACGCAGAUACGCGUAUCUGUCUGAAAGUAUCGUACGAAUAAGGAUCGGCUAACUCCGUGCCAGCAGCCGCGGUAAUACGGAGGAUGCAAGCGUUAUCCGGAUUUAUUGGUUUUAAAGGGUGCGUAGGCGGUCUGAUAAGUUAGAGGUGAAAGCACGAGGCUCAACUUCGGAAUUGCAUCUGAUACUGUCCGGCGAGAGAGUAGUUGCGGUAGGCGGAAUGCAUGGUGUAGCGGUGAAAUGCUUAGAGAUCACACAGAACACCGAUUGCGAAGGCAGCUUACCAAGCUACCUCUGACGUUGAGGCACGAAAGCGUGGGUAGCAAACAGGAUUAGAUACCCUUGUAGUC
rnacentral:rRNA from 1 species